UCAUAGGCGUUCUGGCAGGAAGUAAACUGUGGACGAUAUAUCGGUGUGUUUCGGUACCUCUUUCAGAUUAGAAGACCCACAAUUGUGGUAUUUUUGGAAGAAAACAGGUAUGGGUCGAAGUGGCUAAUAGCUAUAAACACGUAUUUAUGAGAUGGAACAAAUUAAAGGAAGAGAUAUGGUAUUUGUGAGGGAUUGGCCGACAAAAAAAAGUUCUUCAAAACUUGUGUAGUAUUUUUGAAGGAAGGCAGGCAGUAAGUUCUGGAAGCACCUGAAGACCAACAUUCCAUGAGUGAGUAUGGAGUUAGGCGAAACAAGUACAUGCACCAGUAUUUUAAGCAAAUCAAUGUUGUUCCAGGCAUUUACUGU